AACAAACAGUAUUCACUGAGUGUAUCUGCCAACUACCCCUCUUCAUUUGGAUGGUGCCUGUCUCUGUUUUCUUUCUGUAGUCAUCAUCGUUGUGCUAGCCUGAGGGGGAACCCCCCCGGCAAACCCAGUGGUGCCAUCCGGCUUCCUUCACCGUUCCAUUAGGAAGGUGAUGAGUGGAAUGAGAGCACAGAAAUAUAAGAUAAGUGACAUGGGGUUGUUGAUAUUAUUUACACAUUAUUUCCUUUUGUAAGGAGGAAAUUAAUGUACAAUGAUAUGUCUGCACAAGUCUCAAUCCUUUACAUUCCCUGUCCAACUGUCCAACUGUCUGGCCACCAAUACAUCAUGGAAACGUGAUAUUUAAAAAAAAAUAAUGUAAAGUCUAAUUAGUUUGCAGUACACUGCAGUGCUCGGACUGAUUUUUCAUUUUGAUUAUUAUAAGUUGUCAAAACAAAUAGAAUUUGUGAUGCCUUCUGUACACACCCUUUUUUAACAUCAUAUUUAUGCUGUGGCCUUGUAGGGUAAUGUUGAUGACAUCUAGACAAUUUAUUUAUCCGUUUGUUUUACAGCAACAACAACAAAAAUGGAAUCGCAAGAGAACAAACAAAACAUUGUCUGACUGACAGUCAUAUUGAGGGGCUGUGUUUGUGUGAUGACAGCUCUUCCACAAGACGAGCAAAGGACAUCUCGCAAAACCUCUAUUCAUAUUUCCUGUGGUUGAAAGCAAUGCUGGUGCUGUAAACAUCAGGAUAGUUCCAUUGUUAAUUCUGUGAUUUUGCUUUUCUAUCAUCUAUGUGUGCCACAGGAGGUUGGUGGCACCUUAAUUGGGGAGGACGGGCUCGUGGUAAUGACUGGAGCGGAAUCAGUGGAAUGGUACUGAACACAAGCUGCUAGGCACCACGGUUCCUCAUUGUUUUGUAUGAAGCGCCUCAGGCGAACGUACAAGAGAUGUGUGGGGUGGCAGUACUGUGUGUCAUCUUAAAUACCAUCCGGAAGAAACCUGCCAUGCCCCCUUUAUCAAGUCCCCAGGUGACUCAGAAAAAUUGGAGGCUUAAUUUUAUAAUACACCUGAAACUGUUAAGUCCCUCAGAAAUCCUGAUUUUAAUGACAAUACCCCUUAUUCUCUGUAUUUCGGUGAGAGAAGUGACUAAGCCUACUGUAUAUUCCCAUUUCCUCUGGUAACUUAAAUUUGAAGCUAUUCCUACUAGGAUUAAAUGUGCUGAGCGUCAAGUCUUUGAGUUCUGAUGUUGACAAAGAACCUCAUCUCUUACUGUAAUAUACAAUAUGUAAGUUACCAGUUCUAUCUAACUCAAUCAUUGGAUUGGGCAGAGGAUAUUAGACAUUGCAAUCAUCAAAAUAACAAGUUUAUUUCUCCACCAGUCAGACUGUGGUAAAUGUCAUACUAUUUAACCAACCAACCACUUAUGACUAUGUUAUGACAUCUGUCAUUACCAAUCCAUGACAUUCAACAGAGAUUUGUAAUAUUAUUCGAUUGACAUGUGUUCGGUUUUGGACAACUAUAUUUGUCCGUUCAAGUAAAAGAGCGUUUGAGAUGAUUGUGCACUCAAUGCACAUUUGCUCUCAUACCCAUUAUUGUUAUUUUCUCUGUGGCCCCGUGUCCAUGACACAUAAUUGGCCCAUAAUUGAGUUGAAAGGAGUAAAUGUUGGAUUCCCGAAAGGAAACUGACAUUUACCAAAUAAGCGGGAGGCCAACGAAUCCCCCCGGAAUCGAGGCAAAACCAUGCAAAUCUGCUGAAACUGUGCCUAUCUCCCAAUGUUCCCGUCUGCUCCGCAGGUAGCUGCAUUGUGGCGUUACUUACGAUUACAGUGAUUUACAUAGUCUAAGUACUAGGACCAUGCUAAGAUCCUUAACAUAAGGGGGAGGCCAUCACCAGAACCAGCAAAAUGCUGUCUGCUAUGAGAAGAUAGAGAAGAUUAGCCCCAAGAUAGAGAAGAUUAGACCCCAACAUUCGAAAAUAAGAAACAUCGCCUUUGUUCAUAUUUCCAUGAAAGCUGUACACAACCAGGGUACAAAGAUUGUCUUUGGGUCAAAAUCAUUUACACACCACAAAGACACACACACACACAAUGACAAAUUGAGAUUUUGUGUGCUACUGAUUGACCUCAGCCAGCAGCUCCUGAAGAGGAAGAUCACCAUGGUUGGCACAGUUAGAAAGAACAAGUCUGAGCUCCCCCCUGCACUCCUCGCAAUAAGGGGGAGAGAGACCUUCUCAUCAAAGUUUGCCUUCACCCCCACUGGAACUCUAGUUUCUUACCUCCCAAAGAGGAACAAGAAUGUGGUCCUCCUGAGCAUACUGCACAAAACGGCUGAGAUCAGUCAUCAUCCUGGACUACAACCACAACAAAGGAGGCGUGGACAACCUAGACAAGGUGAUUGGAACUUACAGCUGCAGGAGGAUGACUGCCCGCUGGGCCCUGGUCAUCUUCUAUAACAUAAUUGAUGUGUCCUUAUACAAUGCCUUUGUGAUAUGGAACAAGAUCAACCCUACCUGGAUGCCUGAUAAGCGGAACAAGAGGAGGGUGUUCCUGGAGCAGCUGGGAAAAGGCACUUGUAACCCCACACAUUCAAAGAAGGGAGCGCCUCCCUCGCACAGCAGCCUCUGCAGCGCUUGUGAAAGCUGUUUUGGGGGCUGAAUCUUGUCCCGAUCCACCGGAGGCUGCAGCUGGGGCAGGCAAGAGGAGAAAAUGCCAAUUUACAUUUACAUUUACAUUUAAGUCAUUUAGCAGACGCUCUUAUCCAGAGCGACUUACAAAUUGGUGCAUACACCUUAUGACAUCCAGUGGAACAGCCACUUUACAAUAGU